UACGAAGGGGGCUAGCGUUGUUCGGAAUUACUGGGCGUAAAGCGUGCGCAGGCGGCUUCUCAAGUCAGGGGUGAAAGCCCAGAGCUCAACUCUGGAACUGCCCUUGAAACUGUAUGGCUUGAGUAUGAGAGAGGUGAGUGGAAUUCCCAAGUGUAGAGGUGAAAUUCGUAGAUAUUGGGAAGAACACCGGUGGCGAAGGCGGCUCACUGGCUCAUAACUGACGCUCGAUGCCACGACAGCGUGGGGAUCAAACAGG
rnacentral:rRNA from 1 species